AUUGAACGCUGGCGGCAUGCUUUACACAUGCAAGUCGGACGGCAGCGCGGGCUUCGGCCUGGCGGCGAGUGGCGAACGGGUGAGUAAUACAUCGGAACGUGCCCAGUAGUGGGGGAUAGCUCGGCGAAAGCCGGAUUAAUACCGCAUACGACCUGAGGGUGAAAGCGGGGGAUCUUCGGACCUCGCGCUAUUGGAGCGGCCGAUGGCAGAUUAGCUAGUUGGUGGGGUAAAGGCCUACCAAGGCGACGAUCUGUAGCUGGUCUGAGAGGACGACCAGCCACACUGGGGCUGAGACACGGCCCAGACUCCUACGGGAGGCAGCAGUGGGGAAUUUUGGACAAUGGGCGAAAGCCUGAUCCAGCAAUGCCGCGUGUGUGAUGAAGGCCUUCGGGUUGUAAAGCACUUUUGGCGGGAACGAAAAGGACUGUGCCAAUACCACGGUUCGAUGACGGUACCCGCAGAAUAAGCACCGGCUAACUACGUG
rnacentral:rRNA from 1 species